rnacentral:lncRNA from 1 species
UUAACUAACAUAUUACUUAUUACAUCACAUAUUGCCAUUCCUUUUUUAUUCUUUGAUUCUUACUUCCAAAUACAAUCAAGUUUCCAACAUAAUUAUUACAACAUUAUUCUUUCCAUCACUAAACCCCUAAGCUAAGCCGACUUAGGGUAUCGCUAUCUCUGGUCUCGGUGGUAGGGCGCUAACUACGGAGCUACUCCCUUUCCUUGCACCGCCGCGCCGCUCACGUGUGAACCUGUACCCCCAAAAACAACA